rnacentral:lncRNA from 1 species
UCCCUGAUUUCUUCUCUUAGUUUGUCAUAAACUACCAUAUGAACAAACUAAAUAUCAGCUUGUCUGAGCUGCUGAACAUGCUAAAAAUAGCAGAGAGCUAUUUCAAAGGUGAAAAGGCUCUAGUUCUUCUUGUCGAUAAGAUCAACAAGAAGAAAGAUAAGAAGAAUUUCAAGAAAAAGUUGAAUCCUAAGACUGGCAUCUCCAAGAAGAAGGUGAAAAAGAUCUCCGCCAA